rnacentral:misc_RNA from 1 species
CUAAGGAAUAUUACGGAAAUCCCACACAUUCGUUUUUACUUUGUUCAGUUUUGAGAGGUUUAACUCUCAAAACGAUUCAUCUCUAUUCAUUAGAGGUCAAUCACAUUUUGUUCUUUGAAAACUGGAUACUGUUUAAAAAGUAAUUAAAGUAAGAAACCGAGAAAACACCGCGUUUUAAAUGAGUUUUUUAAUUAGUUCUUAUCGUAAGAUAAUGAAUAAAAUCAUUGACUAACAUCAUGAGAUUCCUUCGGGAAUACCAUCGAUAAAAAUUUAGUUGUAGUGGUUUCUAAUUCGAGGACAUGAAGGGUUUGAGAAGCAGAGCGUACUAGCGUACGUGAGCAUCGCAGAACACGAAAUGGACGAAGAAGUAGGAAGCAAUACAGAUAAAUUA